rnacentral:rRNA from 1 species
AAGGGCNCCNCAAGAACGCGUGGAGCAUGUGGCUUAAUUUGACUCAACGCGGGAAAUNUUACCGGGUCCGGACNCNCUGAGGAUUGACAGGCAAUCAUGUGAAUUGUUUUUUUUUUUAAAUUACAUUCACAUAUAAAUAUGCUAGUCCUUUCAUGAUUAUGUGAUAGGUGGUGCAUGGCCGUUCUUAGUUCGUGGAGUGAUCUGUCUGCUUAAUUGCGUUUCAUACUGGACUUAGAAAUCAAGUGUGUUUAUUUUUCUUGUGUGUUUUUUUAUUUUUAUAAUUUAUUAUAUUUAUAAAUUUGCAUGCUAUUUAUUGAAUAAAUAGAUACACAUCUAGUCCUGAAAGCAACGAACGUGACCG